rnacentral:rRNA from 1 species
GAUGAACGCUGGCGGCGUGCUUAAUACAUGCAAGUCGAGCGAACGGACGAGACUCUUGCUUCUCUGAUGUUAGCGGCGGACGGGUGAGUAACACGUGGAUACCCUACCUAUAAUACUGAGAUAACUUCGGGAAACCGGCGCUAAUACCGUAUAAUAUUUUGAACCACAUGGGUCGAUAGUGAAAGACGGUCUUGCUGUCACUUCUCGAUGGAUCCGCGCUGCAUUAGCUAGUUGGUAAGGUAACGGCUUACCAAGGCAACUAUGCAUAGCCGACCUGAGAGAGUGAUCGGCCACACUGGAACGGAGACACGGUCCAGACUACUAAGGGAGGCAGCAGUAGGGAAUCGUCCGCAAUGGGCGAAAGCCUGACGGAGCAACGCCGCGUGAGUUAUGAAGGUCUUCGGAUCGUAAAACUCUGUUAUUAGGGAAGAACAUAUGUGUAAGUAACUGUGCACAGCUUGACGGUACCUAGUCAGAAAGCCACGGCUAACUACGUG